UUUGACCUCAAAUCAGGUAGGACUACCCGCUGAACUUAAGCAUAUCAAUAAGCGGAGGAAAAGAAACUAACAAGGAUUCCCCUAGUAACUGCGAGUGAAGCNGGAAAAGCUC
rnacentral:rRNA from 1 species